GGCGGGGACGGUUCGGGAUCGGCCCCCUCGGCCGGGGCCGGGCAGUCCGCCGGUACCACCUCGGCCCCUGCCA
rnacentral:tRNA from 1 species